UAACAGUUCACUUUCCUUUUAAAAGCUUCAUUUCUGAUGAACCGAAAGAACAAAGAUUUCCCUUCGGUGAAUUCGAUGACAACAACCAACUCAAUGACUCAACAGACUCACUGGAGGCAGAGGGAGAGUUUGGGAGUACAGUUUGACACUUCAUGCUCGGAAAUCUCCCAGAGAUAUGGUCCAGCUACUACAAUAGAGAGAGGUAUAGGAGGAACAGAAGUGUUGGGCUAUAGAGGCAUCUCCAUUCAGCUUCCAUCCUCAUCAUCUCAAUACUCAGGCAGCACCACGUUCCCAUUGGUCCAUCCCCAGGACGAGAGGACUCCAUCGGCUCACCAUGCAGAGAGAUUCCUUUUCCCAUUGGCUCAUCAUUACACAGACGUGAGGACAGUCUUCCCGUUGGCUCAUCAGACUGAGAGAAUGGGACAUUCACUGAACUAUCAUUGGGAUGAUGGGUCAGAUUUCCCAUUGGCUCAUCACCAUACAGAUGAAAGGUUUCUAUUGGCUCAUCCCAGGGAGAGGACUGGUGGUCCAUCGCUUAUUUGACAGAAUGUGUCUCCCCUUUUCUCGCAUCAGUGAAUGUCAGAGCCACACACACACACACACACACACACACACACACACACACACACACACACACACACACACACACACACACACACACACACCUCUAUGGCUCUGCUGAUUACUACUGCGCAGGGUAUGCAACAGAGUCAGUACAGAGACAUUCCAAUCGUGACUUAAUGUGUUUAAAAUGACAUUUCUACAGGC